UACAAGACUUGUUAAUUGCAAACUUUAGGUAGUUCCACUUCUUUUGUGGGCACGGUACGGCUUUUUAACCAUGGCCGAUUUAAUGAAAUAUUGGGACUAAAUUGCCUAUUCUGUUUAGAGCUGAAUUUCACACAACAAGGGAAAAAUAGCUCGCUAUGCAGCUAAAUUGGUCCUCUUACCUGUGGCUGUCUCAUCUACGUUUUGGAGUGUUAAACAUUAUGGACAACGAUGUUAACGAGGAAGUUUUAUUCUGAAAGACAAGAGAGGCUGUGAAACGUCAUAAUGAGGAUAAAAGGAAAAAAAGGAAGACAAAUAUUUACAAAAGGAACUGGCGUUCAGAGGACAUAACAAAUCAAGCAAGGACAACUAUAGAGAGUUUCCAAAGUCAUAUGGAAAUUUAUGUUUUGUCUUUGUCUUGAAUGCCAGAAGUGACGUAAGAAACGGCUGUUGCACAGUUUGUGUUUUCACUGAUGUAUCACGUGAUGUCCAGAAUUAUUUGAUUGCCUAACUGUAUUGAUGAAGUUAUAAAAAUGUUCAAUAUCAGAUUGAUGAGGAAAUCACAGAA